CCUCAAGCUACUUUGUCUGACUGACUUGUGUGCCAACAGCAUCAAGCAGUCGUCUCUUCAGCACACAGCUGUGAUUUUCUCUUAAAUACACUCAUCAACUAUAAAAACCCUGCGUAGAAAGCACAGAAACUGUGAGGAAAAGUAAAAACAGUUUUCUUUGCAAGGUCAUUGAGAUGUUCACAGCAUGAACCUCUAUUUCAUAGUGUAUUGUUUAAUACUGUGGACUGAAAGAGCUGGAUUGUUAGGUUACUGAUUUGCAUAUACGUGCUGAUUUGGGGUGAGGGUGGGGGUUGAGAGUGUCAUUUUAUCGGAGUGCUGAGUGUCUAUCACAUAAAUAUACACAAACAAAAGAACAACUGACCUAUCUGUAAGCCCCGUCCCCCUUAGAUACUGUUGCUCCCUCGGACAAACAAACAGAGCUGCAAACGGUCCUACAAUCUUAGCUGUCAGUGUGAAAACCUUGUCACAAGAUGUUCUUGAACAAUAAAGGACCACCAUUCAAGUGGGAAUUAAAUAUGCCAUGGAGGGAUAUAUAAAGAUAUAAAAAUAAAUAUGGUCAGAUAAGUGACAUAAGGCCCUAUGUGAUCUUUUAUUGACCGUCCUGGGAGAUUAAUCUGUGCGCCAGUGGUGUCAGGUUCGGCCCAUACACAGAAUGAUCCCACAGGGCGAGUGUUAAACCAGUCAUUAGCUUCAUUUCAAUACACUUCUGAAAGCUCUAGGAGAUCCAGACACUGAGACCGAGGCUCUUUUGAUAUCUGCCCUCCAAAAAGAGGAGCGCCGCACCCCUCUGUGCGAGAAGUCGCCUUCGUUAAAAAGAAGGGAACUGAAAGUUGGCAGGCGGCUGAAGGGGUAAUUAAGGGAGGGACGCACGUGUCUCGCCUUGAGAGGUCCCCCAGUGAGACACGACUCGAUCAAAAGCCAGCUGCAGGCGGAAGCCACAAAGGCAGAGUCGCAGUGAGGCGGUGUGUUUGGGGAGCGGGCAUCUAUCCAGAACAGCUGUCCGGAUUACGGUUUAAUAAAAAAACACUUCACAAUGCCCAGCUCCAACCCCCACUGACACACACCCCACGACACCCCCAUAAUACACUGACUCUGAUGUCGUCCCAUUGCCCGCGGGGGGCUGCGCCCGGAUCCCUUGCCUUGUUCCCGGAUCCUGAUCUGCGCAGCCUGCAGUGAGAGGCAGGCUGAGGAGGGGCCGCCAUCUCUCCCCGUUCAUUUGGGCUCAUUGAGGGCUUCAGAAAAGAGUCAUGGGGAGACUUUCAUCUACCGAAAAGAAAGAGCCUGUGAGAUCAAGAUGGUGAAAGAAGGUAGACAAUGGGGGGACGGGGUAAGAAAUAAACACUUUCUAUGUAGCCUGUGUACA
ensembl:lncRNA